UCCAUAGAGAUUUUUCUUUUCUUUUCAAAGUUUGCUUUAGCUCUUCGCCAUUUCUGAUAUUAUAUAGUUUCUUCUAAACCGGGGCUCUUCAAAAUCACUUCAUUCAAUGCAGAGAUUUUAAUGUUUUGACGAUGAUUUGAUAGAUGGAUAAAUUCUCAUUUGACUUAUUCCGUUUACUGUUUGGCAUGAAAUUUUAAUGAUUUGACGCCGUAUAGUGGCUGGAUCUAGAGAGGGGCUAAGGUUUUCUGAGAUUCAGCGAAUCUUCCAGUAAUGAAGCAAAGCUGGCGGCGACACUGGCUUGGAAGUUUGCUGCUAAUGAUAGCAGCGGCCUUAAUGCUAAUGAUACGAGAGUUGCAGUCGAUAAGGAGACAAUUGUUGAUCGAUGAUUUUAUAUUGAAGAAAAUUAAUAAAGAAGAAGGUAUUGAGUUCUUAAGGGUCUCGGCCUCUCUGCCAAUCUUGAUUAGAGGUAUUUACAAUAUGACUUUUAGUCUCUUUCUAUCGUAGGAUCAUUAUGGUUAUUUAUAAGUUGUAAGAUUAGAUGAAUUUAUUAAUCAAAUUUUGAAUUUCGUUUUGACGUAUCACGUGGGCAUGUCAAAGGUUCUGCAUAUGCACUAUGGUUGGUUAGA